rnacentral:rRNA from 1 species
UGCCAGCAGCCGCGGUAAUACGGAGGGUGCAAGCGUUAUCCGGAUUUAUUGGGUUUAAAGGGUACGUAGGCGGUAAUUUAAGUCAGUGGUGAAAGUCUGCAGCUCAACUGUAGAAUUGCCAUUGAUACUGGAUUACUUGAAUAUAGUGGAGGUAAGCGGAAUAAGUAGUGUAGCGGUGAAAUGCUUAGAUAUUACUUAGAACACCGAUUGCGAAGGCAGCUUACUAUACUAUUAUUGACGCUGAUGUACGAAAGCGUGGGUAGCGAACAGGAUUAGAUA